rnacentral:rRNA from 1 species
UACGUAGGGUGCAAGCGUUGUCCGGAAUUAUUGGGCGUAAAGAGCUACGUAGGCGGCUUGUCGCGUCGAAUGUGAAAACCUGCAGCUCAACUGCAGGCUUGCAUUCGAUACGGGCAGGCUCGAGUUCGGUAGGGGAGACUGGAAUUCCUGGGUGUAGCGGUGAAAUGCGCAGAUAUCAGGAGGAACACCGGUGGCGAAGGCGGGUCUCUGGGCCGAUGACUGACGCUGAGGAGCGAAAGCGUGGGGAGCGAACAGG